rnacentral:tRNA from 2 species
ACUUUUAAAGGAUGACAGCCAUCCAUUGGCCUUAGGAACCAAAAAUAUU